UACAGAGGUCUCAAGCGUUGUUCGGAUUCAUUGGGCGUAAAGGGUGCGUAGGUGGCGCUGUAAGUCGGGUGUGAAAUUUCGGAGCUUAACUCCGAAACUGCAUUCGAUACUGCGGUGCUUGAGGACUGGAGAGGAGACUGGAAUUCAUGGUGUAGCAGUGAAAUGCGUAGAGAUCAGGAAGAACACCCGUGGCGAAGGCGGCUUUCUGGGACGGUACUGACGCUGAGACGCGAAAGCGUGGGGAGCAAACAGG
rnacentral:rRNA from 1 species